rfam:Fonticula alba strain ATCC 38817 mitochondrial scaffold supercont2.211, whole genome shotgun sequence.
UGAGGAAUAGCCAAGUGGUAAGGCAAUGGAUUUUGAUUUCAUGACGCAUGGGUUCGAAUCCCAUUUUCUCAA